rnacentral:ncRNA from 1 species
GUUAGGUGUAGGCGCAGCGAAAGCGAGUCUGAAUAGGGCGACUGAGUAUGGUGUAUUAGACCCGAAACCCGGCGAUCUAGGCAUGACCAGGUUGAAGGUGCGGUAACACGCACUGGAGGACCGAACCGGUGAAUGUUGAAAAAUUCUCGGAUGAGUUGUGUUUAGGGGUGAAAGGCCAAUCAAGCCGGGAAAUAGCUGGUUCUCCGCGAAAUCUAUUGAGGUAGAGCGUCGGAUAUUUGCCGUUGGGGGUAGAGCACUGGAUGGAUGCGGGGGUCGCGAGAUCUACCAAUUCUAACCAAACUCCGAAUACCAACGAGUCUAGUCCGGCAGACAGACGGCGGGUGCUAAGGUCCGUCGUCAAAAGGGAAACAGCCCUAACCUACAGCUAAGGUCCCCAAGUCAUCACUAAGUGGGAAAGCAUGUGGGAGUCCCAAAACAACCAGGAGGUUGGCUUAGAAGCAGCCAUCCUUUAAAGAAAGCGUAACAGCUCACUGGUCUAAAUAAGGGUUCCUGCGGCGAAAAUGUAACGGGGCUCAAGUGAUGCACCGAAGCUUAGGGUGUGAUCGUUUACGAUCACGCGGUAGCGGAGCGUUCCGUAAGCGAGUGAAGCGGGAGGGUAACCGACCGUGGACGUAUCGGAAGUGCGAAUGCUGACAUGAGUAGCGACAAAGAGGGUGAGAUGCCCUCUCGCCGAAAGACCAAGGGUUCCUGCGCAACGCUAAUCGGCGCAGGGUGAGCCGGCCCCUAAGACGAGCCCGAAGGGGGUAGUCGAUGGGAACCACGUUAAUAUUCGUGGGCCUGGUGGUGUGUGACGGAUCGUGGACGUUGUUCAUCCUUAUCGGAUUGAAUGGGCAGCCAAGCGGUUCCAGGAAAUAGCCCCACCGUAUAGACCGUACCCGAAACCGACACAGGUGGUCAGGUAGAGUAUACCAAGGCGCUUGAGAGAAGUAUCCUGAAGGAACUCGGCAAAUUGCCUCCGUACCUUCGGAAGAAGGAGGCCCUGUCUAUGCGCAAGCACUGGCAGGGGGCACAGGCCAGGGGGUAGCGACUGUUUAGCAAAAACACAGCACUCUGCUAAGUCGGCUUCAAGACGACGUAUAGGGUGUGACGCCUGCCCGGUGCCGGAAGGUUAAGAGGAGGAGUGCAAGCUCCGAAUUGAAGCCCCGGUAAACGGCGGCCGUAACUAUAACGGUCCUAAGGUAGCGAAAUUCCUU